rnacentral:rRNA from 1 species
UACGUAGGGGGCAAGCGUUGUCCGGAAUCAUUGGGCGUAAGAGCGUGUAGGCGGCCAGAUAAGUCCGCUGUGAAAUCUCGAGGCUCAACUUCGAGCUGUCGGUGGAAACUGUCUGGCUAGAGUCCGGAAGAGGAGAAUGGAAUUCCUGGUGUAGCGGUGAAAUGCGCAGAUAUCAGGAAGAACACCCGUGGCGAAGGCGGUCUCUGGGACGGUACUGACGCUGAGAACGCGGAAAGCGUGGGGAGCGAACAGG